UUUUGAAAUAAGAUAUGGAGGAU
rnacentral:snRNA from 1 species